AAUAAGCUUAAUUUAAUUACUGACACCAGAAUUGGAUUAAAGAGGAACUGACGAGCACCAUAUCUCUACAGGGUGUACAGCAAAACAUUUUUUCAAAUUGUUUAUAAAACGUUCAUUUUUCACGUAUUGUUCAUAUUCUCGAUCGAAUACGCGUGUAGGUACGCAUUUCAGGUUUAUGUUUUAACGCCUGUCCACGACAAAUUUUUGAUCUCGCUAUUGCUAAA